rnacentral:rRNA from 1 species
GUUGUAUAGUUAAGUGAGAAAGCGUACAGGGCGGAUGCCUUGGCAAUCAGAGGCGAAGAAGGACGUGCUAAUCUGCGAAAAGCGUGGGUGAGUUGAUAAGAAGCGUUUAACCCACGAUGUCCGAAUGGGGAAACCCGAUAGGCGAAGAGCCUAUCAUUGCGAGGUGAAUAAAAUAGCCUCGUAAGGCGAACCGGGAGAACUGAAACAUCUAAGUACCCCGAGGAAAAGAAAUCAACCGAGAUUCUGUGAGUAGCGGCGAGCGAAAGCGGAGGAGCCAGUAAGUAAUAGCAGCAGAGAUAGAGGAAUUGUCUGGGAAGGCAAGCGACACAGGGUGAUAGCCCCGUACUUAAAAUCCAGGCUGUGGUACUAAGCUUACGAGAAGUAGGGCGGGACACGAGGAAUCCUGUCUGAAGAUGGGGGACCAUCCUCCAAGGCUAAAUACUCCUGAUUGACCGAUAGUGAACCAGUACUGUGAAGGAAAGGCGAAAAGAACCCCGGUGAGGGGAGUGAAAUAGAACCUGAAACCCUGUACGUACAAGCAGUGGGAGCCCGCAAGGGUGACUGCGUACCUUUUGUAUAAUGGGUCAGCGACUUAUAUUUUGUAGCGAGGUUAACUGAAUAAGGGAGCCGAAGGGAAACCGAGUCUUAACUGGGCGGUGAGUUGCAAGGUAUAGACCCGAAACCCGGUGAUCUCAGCCAUGGGCAGGUUGAAGGUUGGGUAACACUAACUGGAGGACCGAACCGACUAAUGUUGAAAAAUUAGCGGAUGACCUGUGGCUGGGGGUGAAAGGCCAAUCAAACCGGGAGAUAGCUGGUUCUCCCCGAAAUCUAUUUAGGUAGAGCCUUGUGUGAAUACCUUUGGGGGUAGAGCACUGUUUCGGCUAGGGGCCCAUCCUGGGUUACCAAACCGAUGCAAACUCCGAAUACCAAAGAGUAAUGCACAGGAGACACACGGCGGGUGCUAACGUCCGUCGUGGAGAGGGAAACAACCCAGACCGCCAGCUAAGGUCCCAAAAUCUAUAUUAAGUGGGAAACGAAGUGGGAAGGCUUAGACAGCUAGGAUGUUGGCUUAGAAGCAGCCACCAUUUAAAGAAAGCGUAAUAGCUCACUAGUCGAGUCGGCCUGCGCGGAAGAUGUAACGGGGCUAAAAUAUAGUACCGAAGCUGCGGCAUCAAUCGAAGGAUUGUUGGGUAGGGGAGCGUUGUGUAAGCGGAAGAAGGUGGUUCGAGAGGAUUGCUGGACGUAUCACAAGUGCGAAUGCUGACAUAAGUAACGAUAAAACGGGUGAAAAACCCGUUCGCCGGAAGACCAAGGGUUCCUGUCCAACGUUAAUCGGGGCAGGGUGAGUCGGCCCCUAAGGCGAGGCUGAAAAGCGUAGUCGAUGGGAAACGGGUUAAUAUUCCCGUACUUGGUAAAGCUGCGAUGUGGGGACGGAGAAGGUUAGGUUAUCGACCUGUUGGAUAUGGUCGUUUAAGUUGGUAGGUGGGUGAGUUAGGUAAAUCCGGCUCACCGUUAACACUGAGAGAUGAUGACGAGGCACUAAGGUGCUGAAGUAACUGAUACCACACUUCCAGGAAAAGCCACUAAGCUUCAGGCUUUACUAAACCGUACUGAAAACCGACACAGGUGGUCAGGUAGAGAAUACUCAGGCGCUUGAGAGAACUCGGGUGAAGGAACUAGGCAAAAUAGCACCGUAACUUCGGGAGAAGGUGUGCCGGCGUAGAUUGUAGUGACUUGCUCACGAAGGUUGAACCGGUCGAAGAUACCAGCUGGCUGCAACUGUUUAUUAAAAACACAGCACUCUGCAAACACGAAAGUGGACGUAUAGGGUGUGAUGCCUGCCCGGUGCUGGAAGGUUAAUUGAUGGUGUAAUCGAAAGAGAAGCUCCUGAUCGAAGCCCCAGUAAACGGCGGCCGUAACUAUAACGGUCCUAAGGUAGCGAAAUUCCUUGUCGGGUAAGUUCCGACCUGCACGAAUGGCAUAAUGAUGGCCAGGCUGUCUCCACCCGAGACUCAGUGAAAUUGAAAUCGCCGUGAAGAUGCGGUGUACCCGCGGCUAGACGGAAAGACCCCGUGAACCUUUACUAUAGCUUGACACUGAACCUUGAAUUUUGAUGUGUAGGAUAGGUGGGAGACUAUGAAGCGGUAACGCCAGUUAUCGUGGAGUCGUUGUUGAAAUACCACCCUUUAACGUUUGAUGUUCUAACGAAGUGCCUGAAACGGGUACUCGGACAGUGUCUGGUGGGUAGUUUGACUGGGGCGGUCUCCUCCCAAAGUGUAACGGAGGAGCACGAAGGUUUGCUAAUGACGGUCGGACAUCGUCAGGUUAGUGCAAUGGUAUAAGCAAGCUUAACUGCGAGACAGACAAGUCGAGCAGGUGCGAAAGCAGGUCAUAGUGAUCCGGUGGUUCUGAAUGGAAGGGCCAUCGCUCAACGGAUAAAAGGUACUCCGGGGAUAACAGGCUGAUACCGCCCAAGAGUUCAUAUCGACGGCGGUGUUUGGCACCUCGAUGUCGGCUCAUCACAUCCUGGGGCUGAAGUAGGUCCCAAGGGUAUGGCUGUUCGCCAUUUAAAGUGGUACGCGAGCUGGGUUUAGAACGUCGUGAGACAGUUCGGUCCCUAUCUGCCGUGGGCGUUGGAGAAUUGAGAGGGGCUGCUCCUAGUACGAGAGGACCGGAGUGGACGCAUCACUGGUGUACCAGUUGUCUCGCCAGAGGCAUUGCUGGGUAGCUAAAUGCGGAAGAGAUAAGUGCUGAAAGCAUCUAAGCACGAAACUUGCCUUGAGAUGAGUUCUCCCAGUCUAUAAGACUGUAAGGGUUGUUGGAGACUACGACGUAGAUAGGCUGGGUGUGUAAGCGGUGUGAGCCGUUGAGCUAACCAGUACUAAUUGCCCGAGAGGCUUAACUAUACAACGCUCAAGGGUUUUG